rnacentral:rRNA from 1 species
AUUGAACGCUGGCGGCAUGCUUUACACAUGCAAGUCGAACGGUAACAGGCCUUCGGGUGCUGACGAGUGGCGAACGGGUGAGUAAUGCAUCGGAACGUGCCCAAUCGUGGGGGAUAACGUAGCGAAAGUUACGCUAAUACCGCAUAAGCCCUGAGGGGGAAAGCAGGGGAUCGCAAGACCUUGCGCGAAUGGAGCGGCCGAUGUCAGAUUAGCUAGUUGGUGGGGUAAAGGCCUACCAAGGCGACGAUCUGUAGCGGGUCUGAGAGGAUGAUCCGCCACACUGGGACUGAGACACGGCCCAGACUCCUACGGGAGGCAGCAGUGGGGAAUUUUGGACAAUGGGCGCAAGCCUGAUCCAGCCAUGCCGCGUGCGGGACGAAGGCCUGG